rnacentral:rRNA from 1 species
CCUACGGGAGGCUGCAGUGGGGAAUAUUGCACAAUGGGGGAAACCCUGAUGCAGCGACGCCGCGCGCAGGAAGACGGUUUUCGGAUCGUAAACUUCUAUCAGCAGGGAAGAAGAAAGUGACAGUACCUGCCUAAGAAGCCCCGGCUAACUACGUGCCAGCAGCCGCGGUAAUACGCAGGGGGCAAGCGUUAUCCGGAAUCCAUGGGUGUAAAGGGUGCGUAGGCGGUAGGGCAAGUCGGAUGUGAAAGCCCGGGGCUCGACCCCGGUAUUGCAUUUGAAACUGUCUUGCUAGAGUGCAGGAGAGGAAAGCGUAAUACCUAGUGUAGCGGUUAAAUGCGUAGAGAUUAGGAAGAACACCAGUGCCGAAGGUGGCUUUCUGGACUGUAACUGACGCUGAGGCACGAAAGCGUGGGGAGCGAACAGGAUUAGAUACUCCUGUAGAC